UCCAGCUCCCAGCUUCCAGCUCCCAGCUCCCAGCUUUUGAAAUUGAUUCACCAACACCAGGCUAAUAUCAAUAUGAAUCAAAAUUAUGGAAGUUUUAUCAUUCCUCAAGCUAGAGGUCGAAAGAGAAAAACAAAUCCAGAAGAAUGGGCAAAAAAUAAGAAGAAAAGAGUAAGACAUUUUCAACAAUGACGUCGAUGGAAUCAUCCGGAUACUCCUUACACUCUGGAGCAUUCAAUACCUAGAAGAGGGGUUAGGGGUGCCGGGGAAGGGCAGAGGUAGGAGGUUGGAGAGGAAGACGUGGAAGGGGAAGAGGUGGAAGAGGAACAGGUGGUGGGGGACCAAAUAACGGGAGAGUCGACAGACUAGAAGAAGUUAACCGGGACAGAAUUGAUGACUCUGAAGAAGGAAUUAGAGUAGAAACCCGUAUCCCCCUACUCCGGCCCCUACUCCGGAAAGAAGAUACUGAUCUUUUAAGAAAAUGUAUUUAGUUUUAUAUAUACUAGGGCUGUUUUUUUUUCAAGUUCCGAUAGGCCAUAAAUAAUAAACACAUUGAGAUAAAAAGAUGAUUUUAUUACCAAAAGAUUCGUCAUUUCUUAAACUUAUUUUUCUACAUAGUCACCAAAAAUGUUGAGGCACUUGUCAUAGCGAGAGACAAGUUUUCCUAUACCCUCCUCGAAGAAGUCUGCCGCCAGUGAGCUCAGGUAGGCCCUUACAGUGGCUUGAAGCUCUUCGAUGUCAGCGAAGCGUCGUCCACCUAACCACGCCUUCAUUUCUCGAAAGAGGUGAUAGUCACUGGGCGCUAAGUCAGGACUAUACGGCGGAUGGUCGAAAACUUCCCAUUUGAACUUUUGCAGAAGUUGUUUUGUGACAUUGGCAUUAUGCGGUCGUGCAUUAUCGUGGAUCAGGACCACGCCGGAUGACAGCAUUCCUCUCCGUUUGUUUUGUAUUGCUCUCCGGAGGCGAUGUAGAGUCUCACAGUAUGAUUCCUUUGUUAUCGUUGUUCCCUGUUGCAUGAACUCAACCAGAAGCACACCUUUUUGGUCCCAAAACACUGUAGCCAUUGUUUUCCUCUUGGUCAAAGUCUGCUUGAGUUUUUUGGGUUUGUUAGGAGAGUGAGUGUGCAUCCAUUGCUUUGAUUGUUCCUUGGUUUCUGGAUUUUCAUACAGGACCCAAGUUUCAUCCCCAGUAACAAUAGACUUUAAAAAAUUGUCUUUCUCGUUGUCAUAUCGCGUCAGAAAAGUUAGGGCUGACGCCAUUCGCUUCGUUUUGUGAUCCUCACUCAACAUUUUGGGUACCCAACGGGCACACAGUUUUCGGUACCCUAGCUCGGUGGUCACAAUCUUGUACAAGGAAGACCUUGAAAUGGCUGGAAAUUCGGUAGAAAGUUCAUCAAUUGUAAACCUCCGUUUCUCCCGGAUCGCUUGGUCAACUCGUUCAACCAAACUUGCAGUAGCGACCGACUUGCGUCCUUGACCGCCUUCGUCAUGGACGUCUGUUCGACCUUCAGCAAAUAGCCUACACCAUUUUCUUAUCGCGCUAUCACUCAUACAGUGUUCACCAUACACAACACUCAUUCUGCGAUGGAUUUCAGCAGCACUACAUCCUUCAGCUUGAAGGAAACGAAUCACACUUCGCAACUCAAAACUGGCGGGAGAAUUGAUCGUAGCGGCCAUCUUUACUCGCCCGUAGCUCGGCUACGACUGAUGGAUUGGAGCCGGCAACGGCGUUGGUUGUAGUGGGGGAGCGGCGCAAUCGCACAACACGCAGCCCCGCCUCCCACCACUACGCUGGUUAUUUGGAGAAACAAACGG